rnacentral:rRNA from 1 species
UUUUUAUAGAAUUUAUUAUAAAUAAAACCUGCUCAAUGAAAUUUAAAUAGCCGCAGUUACUCUGUGCUAAGGUAGCAUAAUCAUUUGUCUUCUAAUUAAAGACUAGAAUGAAAGGUUAAACGAUUUUAUUUCUUUCUCAAAAUAUUUAAAUUAAAUUAUUUUAAAUAUCAAAAAAUAUUUAUUUUGUAAAAAGACGACAAGACCCUAUCAAACUUCACUUAAGUUAAGCUGGGGCAGCUUUAAAACAUAUUCUUUUUACUACUUUAAUAAAUAGACCUAUUUAAAAUAAAUAUUUGAUCAAGUUACUGUAGGGAUAACAGCAUAAUUUUAAUUCAAAGCUCUUAUUAAAAUUAAAGAUUAUGACCUCGAUGUUGAAUAAUAAAAUUUUAUAAUGCAACAAUUAUAUAAAUAAGUCUGUUCGACUUUUAAAUUAUUACA